AGUGAACGCUGGCGGUAGGCCUAACACAUGCAAGUCGAACGGCAGCACAGGAGAGCUUGCUCUCUGGGUGGCGAGUGGCGGACGGGUGAGGAAUACAUCGGAAUCUACUCUGUCGUGGGGGAUAACGUAGGGAAACUUACGCUAAUACCGCAUACGACCUACGGGUGAAAGCAGGGGACCUUCGGGCCUUGCGCGAUUGAAUGAGCCGAUGUCGGAUUAGCUAGUUGGCGGGGUAAAGGCCCACCAAGGCGACGAUCCGUAGCUGGUCUGAGAGGAUGAUCAGCCACACUGGAACUGAGACACGGUCCAGACUCCUACGGGAGGCAGCAGUGGGGAAUAUUGGACAAUGGGCGCAAGCCUGAUCCAGCCAUACCGCGUGGGUGAAGAAGGCCUUCGGGUUGUAAAGCCCUUUUGUUGGGAAAGAAAUCCAGCCGGCUAAUACCUGGUUGGGAUGACGGUACCCAAAGAAUAAGCACCGGCUAACUUCGUGCCAGCCGCCGCCGUAA
rnacentral:rRNA from 1 species